rnacentral:rRNA from 1 species
GAGGGAUCAUUACAGAGUUGCAAAACUCCCCAAACCAUCGUGAACGUUACCUACAUCGUUGCUUCGGCGGGUGGCGGGCUUCGGCCCUGCCCUCGGCCCCUCUCGGGGGCCCGCCGGAGGUACACCAAACUCUUGAAUUUACAUGGCCUCUCUGAGUCUUCUGUACUGAAUAAGUCAAAACUUUCAACAACGGAUCUCUUGGUUCUGGCAUCGAUGAAGAACGCAGCGAAAUGCGAUAAGUAAUGUGAAUUGCAGAAUUCAGUGAAUCAUCGAAUCUUUGAACGCACAUUGCGCCCGCCAGUAUUCUGGCGGGCAUGCCUGUCCGAGCGUCAUUUCAACCAUCAAGCCCCCGGCUUGUGUUGGGGACCUGCGGCACACCCGCAGGCCCUGAAAACCAGUGGCGGGCUCGCUGUCCACACCGAGCGUAGUAGCAUAUCUUUGUCUCGCUCAGGGCGUGCGGCGGGUUCCGGCCGUGAAACCCACCUUCUCGAAGGUACCCAAAGGUUGACCUCGGAUCAGGUAGGAAGACCCGCUGAACUUAAG